UGGUGACCUGGCUAUAUACCAGAUAGUGGCAGUGUUUCCCUGUUGUAUUACAGUCUUCUGAACUGACUGGUUGGGAUGUUGAUCAACCAUCUUGGGAGGUGACAACUAGAAUACAAGAUGUAGCUGUUCUUCAUCACCCGCUUAUGAAACCAACUCACCCAUUCCAAGUGGGAGAUAUCGUGCUAAUAAAGAAAUUAAAGAAAGGAAAAUUCACAGGAGACUUCACCUACGGACCACCGACUACAGUGGUAGCCGCGACCCGCACAGCAGUACUUACAGAAGAAGCACCUACUUGGAUCCACGCCACCAGAGUGAAAAUGGUAAAGGAGACACCCCAAAAGGAGGUAAUAACGGGGACAGACAGUCCUGACCUUGAAAAAGG